UUUAAGAUCUUAGAAAGAGUUACAAAAAAGAAAAUGGACUUGAAAGAUUUUGGCAUUUAUUAAUUUUGUGCUUUUUUCUGCUAAUUCAAGCUUCAGGUCGAGGUAAUUAAUUUACUUCUAGCCGAUGAUGAAUAUGUAGAUAACCGGAAUGACAGAGGUCCAGUGUUAUUUCCCACUGUUAUUCCUUAAACAAUCAGUCUUUGAAUCAACUGUUGAUUUGAUGCAAUGGAAACUUAGGUGUUAGAAUAAAAUAUAAAAAAAUAUAAUAAAUGCGUGUUAUUUCAAAUUAAUUGCUUGCAAACAAACACAAUAGCCAUAAGAUUACCACUUAUUGAUAAAAAAGCAAUUAGAAAAAAAUAUGAGCUCUCUAUUGAAAUUUAUUAGGCUCAAAUUCUGAUAAAAUUGGAGACACGUCUGUUUAUUAUUUAGUAAAAUUUUGGAAACGUAUUAAUGAAGCAACAUGUUUAAAAUAGAAAUUAUAUUGUUGCUGUUAUUUUACUUAUUUGUCUACAUUUUGGGGCAAUCAGCAAAUAGGGCUUCAAACAUCACUAAUGUGACCUUUACAGAUUUACUUUUCAUACCUCUUAAACCUCCUUUUUUCCCUCCUGUAAUUAAUGUAAACGUAUAAAGAACUGUGAAGCAAAAGAUUUUUUCUAUUCGACUUACCUGAAUUAUCUACUUAAUCAAAUGUUACUUUUAGUUGAAUAUAAUACAUACAAUGAAGAUAUUAGUAGCCCAAGAGAAUAUAUACCUUCGUUUGUAUUUUUUUCGUGUCAUAAAAUUUUAAGUGUCUUGUCAGUCGUAGUUCAUGAGUUUUAUUGGUAAAUAAAGAAAUAAAAUAAAUGAGUUGUUUUCCUUUUAAA